CACGUAGGGGGCAAGCGUUGUUCGGAUUCAUUGGGCGUAAAGGGUGCGUAGGCGGCGCGGUAAGUCGGGUGUGAAAUUUCGAGGCUUAACUUCGAAACUGCAUUCGAUACUGCCGUGCUUGAGGACUGGAGAGGAGACUGGAAUUUACGGUGUAGCAGUGAAAUGCGUAGAGAUCGUGAGGAAGACCAGUGGCGAAGGCGGGUCUCUGGACAGUUCCUGACACUGAGGCACGAAGGCCAGGGGAGCAAACGGG
rnacentral:rRNA from 1 species